GACGAACGCUGGCGGCGUGCUUAACACAUGCAAGUCGAACGGAAAGGCCCUGCUUUUGUGGGGUGCUCGAGUGGCGAACGGGUGAGUAACACGUGAGUAACCUGCCCUUGACUUUGGGAUAACUUCAGGAAACUGGGGCUAAUACCGGAUAGGAGCUCCUGCUGCAUGGUGGGGGUUGGAAAGUUUCGGCGGUUGGGGAUGGACUCGCGGCUUAUCAGCUUGUUGGUGGGGUAGUGGCUUACCAAGGCUUUGACGGGUAGCCGGCCUGAGAGGGUGACCGGCCACAUUGGGACUGAGAUACGGCCCAGACUCCUACGGGAGGCAGCCGUGGCGAAUAUUGCACAAUGGGCGGAAGCCUGAUGCAGCAACGCCGCGUGCGGGAUGACUGCCUUCGGGUUGUAAACCGCUUUCGCCUGUGACGAAGCGUGAGUGACGGUAAUGUGUAAAGAAGCACCGGCUAACUACGUG
rnacentral:rRNA from 1 species